AUUCAAUUGUUCACAGACUUGCUCAUAGACUGAAAAUGCAGGGCAAGCAAGAAGAAGUGAAAUUUAAAUUUGUGGAUUAUACACUUGCUUUAGCUGCAUUUAGAAGCGAUUCAGAGACUGCAAGGAAAACAAAUGUUGUGGCGGUAAAUAGCAAUGAAAUCGAGGACCAUGCAUAAAGAAGUGUAUAAAGUACGAGUACGUAUGACAAAGAUCAAGAUGAAGAAAACGGGAGGCGACGAAGGACGGAAAAAGAGCGGGAAUACAACAAAAGGACAGUAAUAAAGGAAGUGAGCCCUGAUUAAGAACUUUGAAUUGAUAAUUUUAAUAAUUUACCUCUAUUGUCUAUUUUAAAAUUUAUUUUGUAAAUUGUGAUUGAAUUGAUGUAUAUAAAAUAUUUUCACAGUGAA